AUGUUAUUAGUAUAAUUAUAUUAUAUCACUUUUCCAAAGUGGGGAUCUAACAGUUUAGAUAACAUA
rnacentral:tRNA from 1 species